rnacentral:lncRNA from 1 species
AGUGAGUUGAUCAGGAAAAUGUAGUGGGAUUUCCAGGCAGCCUGGGAGUCUAUUUGAAACUGGUGAUGAUGGUGGAAGCAAUCUUCUCAGUCAUGUGACUCUCCUGCGGGGCUGGGUUACUUUUCUUGGGAGAAAGUUUAGCUCUGAUGGGAGUGGCUGAACAAGCCAGCUGGAAGGACGGGUUAUUGUGGUCAGAAGGUGGGCAGAUUGAAUUUUGCAUCUGGAGAUAGCAAGAUUAUGGGUGCUGACAAUGUCCAGGAAGUGACCAUGGGCCUGUGUGGCUGAGGUGAUCAAGAAAAUGAGAGGCCAAGGGGUUAUGUGUAUCUUCCCAGGAGAGCUCUGUGACUGCUUUGACCAAUACAAGACAGCAGGAGUGAAGGUGGACUCAGCUUUUAACUGGUUCCUGCAGUCCUGACCAGUCAUCAAGCAGCUACUCAGACAGAGAGGCCGCGUGGAGGAGGCUUGAGGCAUCAGUCGUGUGGUGAAGAAGCCAUCUUGGACCCCCAGCCCCGGCUCUUACCUAGAUGCAGCUGCACCAGCUGAGCCCAAUCAACCCGCAGAUCCCUGAGAGAUAAUGAUAAAUAGCUGUGCCUUUGCUCUCAGCCUACCCCUUCGUGCUCCACACCCCAGUGAUAGUGAGAGGAGUACCAGAAACGAAGGGAUGGAAGAAUAGCAGCUGGAGGAGAAGGAUGGAGCAGAAAACAGCGAGUUCAAGAAGGAUUGGGAGAGAAUUUUUGGUGAGGAGCUGAGAGCAAAGCAAGGAGAAAGAUGGUUUGAAGACACUCCAGAAUAUGAGGGAGGUAGAGAGUGAGAGGAAAAGGAGGAAGGGGGUUUUAAGAAACGAUCACUUAGGGGCUGGCCCGGUGGCUGGGUGGUUAAAUUCUCGCGCUCUGCUGCUGCGGCCUGGGGUUUUGCCAGUUCAGAUCCUGGGCGCAGACAUGGCACUGCUCAUCAAGCUAUGCUGAGGCAGCAUCCCACAUGCCACACUAGAAGGACCCAUAACUAAGAAUAUACAACUAUGUACUGGGGGGCUUUGGGGAGAAAAAGGAAAAAAAUAAAAUCUUAAAAAAAAAAGAAAUGGUGACUUAGUUUAAACUUAAAUUUGUCUGGUGGUUUCUUUGCACUGACACGGCACAGAGGCUAUGCCCAUGGGAGCCCAGCGUUAGGUUAC